ensembl:lncRNA
UUUCCUCUGUGUUUACUGAAAUGAAAAAUUUCCAUACCUGAGGAAAAAAAAAUAACAACGUUGCAUCUUCUUUUCUCUCUCCCUGGUGACAACUCCAGCUUGGAAAAGCCAACCUGCUCUAUUCCAGUGUAUGAGCUGUGCUGACAAAGCCUGGAGAAUAACACUGACUGAAGAGAAUGAGUUCUGGGACUAGACCAUUGAACUUACUUCCAACAUAUGCUCUUCAGAAACAAUUAAUUGGAAAAAAAACUCUAUGGAAAAGAAACUCACCAUAUUUAAUACCAUUAACACCAACUACUGAUCAAAUUCCAGUAAUGAGCAGGUAAGUCCAAGAACACUAGGAAAAGCAGCAUCCCCUCCUCCAUUUAAGCCCUUCUUCCAAUCUAAACUUGCCAGUAGAACAAUCCUCUGUAGUCACAAUUAAGUGUAAAAUGAUCCUAUGGAAAAGAAGCUCACCAUAUUCAAUAUCACUAGCACCAACUACUGAUCAAAUGUCACCAAUGAGCAAGCAAGCCCAAGAACACUAAAAAAGCAGUACCCACUACCCCAAUUUAAUAGCCCUUAUUAUAAUCUAGAUUUGGCAGCCAUCAUCCAUAAUAGUAGUUCUCAGAGUGUGGUCCAGACAAUCCUGGGGUUCUCUGAAACCCUUUUGGAAGGUGUAUAAAUUCAGAUUAAACUUUUAGUUCUAAUAUAGUAAAUAUGUAUAAACAUAAGCCACAUAAACAGAUUCUCAAUAAUUUUUAAUAGUAUAAAGAUGCUGAGAACAAAAGUUUAAGAACCACUAAUCUAGAAGAAAAAUCUUUGUGGAAAAAUGAUCCAGCAACUGUGUGUGUAGCUGUUAUAGACUCUAUUCCUUCAGUAGCCUUAGCUUUAAUAUAAAGAAUGACCAAAAUAUGAAUUUAAUAGAUAUAUAGAAAAAUCAAUCAAAUUAGUUCUAUCUCUACCUAUAUCUUUUAGUCGAUUAGAAUUCUAUCUCUAAUUUAUCUCUUAAAACUGAAUGCAAUAUUCUAAAUAUGAUCUUGACUAGGAAAAAAAAUCAACAAACAACAGUCAGAUAGCUGGAAAUAAGAUGGACAAGGAGUAUAAUGAAACAUAGUUAAAUUUACCUAGACAUAGUGAGACAGACAUAUAAAGCAAUCAUAGCUUAAAUAAGUAGGAUUCACAGGUCAUCAUGGAAAUUCUCGGGUUCUGAAGUUGAUGGGACUAAAUCUAUGAGGCACAACCGACCAUAUAGCACUCAAGAUCUCAUAGGUCAUAAAUAUUGGAGCUAGAAUGUGAACCUGAGUUUUCUGACUCCAAAAAGUAUGCUCAUUUCAUUGUACUAGACUGAAAUGUAAGUUUCUUGAAGGCAGGUACUAUUUCAUUCUUUCCCCUCUAUCCUCAAUUGCUAGACAGAAUUCCUGAGCCUUACACAAGGUUGUGUUUAACCAGUGUUUGCUGAACUGAAUCAAAUCAAGGCAUAUGACACAAAGGAUGACGAUCUAUAUGAGUCUCUUUUUUACUUAUUUAUAUAUGAAUGGUGGUAUAGCAUGCAAUUAAAAACCAUUUAUUAAAAACCCAAUAUGUAUAAGUCUUCUCAAAAAUUGGAUACAAAUAAAAUAGGAUUAUAAACUAAAGGCUAUUCAGAGGAGAACGUGUAGAGCAGUGAUGGAAUUUAUGGUCAAGCUCCUGUUUUAAAGAAGCUCAUCCUUAGAGCAUUUAAAUGUAGUAUGCACUAGUGUGUGGUCAAUGUUUAACAACUAGAUUUCUAAAAAAAUAAAUAUGUUUAUGAUGUAUUUUUAAGUUUAAUUUUAACUAUCAACCAUCUCUCCAUUAUUUCCUUUAGUCUGGAAAUUUAAAAAGAAACUAUAAAGUGAAGACUGAUUUCCAAUUUUUGCUGAUUUCUUUUGUGUAAAUUUCUACUGGAAAUAUUUAACCAUAGGCUCUGUAGCCGGCAUACCCCUGGCAAUAAUGUCAUGUUUGCAAUGUAGUGACAUUGAUUUAUAUAUUGUCAAAUAUUUAUGUAAAAAAUGAGGGUAUGUGUGGAGAGAUUUCUGUAUUCAAAUUUAGGUAAUUGGCAGUAUAGCAGUAGUAGAUAAUAGGGCAAAUAUGGUUUGGGAACAGUACUGGGAUAGGUAGAAUUGAAGCCAAAAAAGUCACAUAAGCACUUAUUUCAACUUGAUCCUGAAUAAUAGAAUUUCAAUGUUGGAAAUAUUUACAAACAUCCUAGUUCAAAUCAUACUUGAAAAAUAAAUAAACAAACAAAAAUAUAACAAGACUUCAAAACAUACUUGACAAUUGACAUCCUAUUUUCUUUUGAAACUCUUUAAUGAAACAAAAUCCCAAGACA